AUUGAACGCUGGCGGCAGGCUUAACACAUGCAAGUCGAGCGAGCGGCGGACGGGUGAGUAAUGUCUGGUAAACUGCCUGAUGGAGGGGUAUAACUACUGAAACGGUAGCUAAUACCGCAUACCAUCAACUGUGCCAAGAUGGGAUUAGUUAGUAGGUGGGGUAAUGGCCCACCUAGGCGACGAUCCCUAGAUGGUUUGAGAGGAUGACCAGCCACACUGGAACUGAGACACGGUCCAGACUCCUACGGGAGGCAGCAGUGGGGAAUAGUGCACAAUGGGCGCAAGCCUGAUGCAGCCAUGCCGCGUGUGUGAAGAAGGCCUUCGGGUUGUAAAGCACUUUCAGCGGGGAGGCGUUACUCGCAGAAGAAGCACCGGCUAACUCCGUGCCAGCCGCCGCGGUAAUUC
rnacentral:rRNA from 1 species